rnacentral:lncRNA from 1 species
AACUCGAAAUAAAGAUCGGCCGAGAUAUCGGUCCAGUCACCCGAUACUUGUGGCAAAAUGCUGGUAGGAGUCCGAAAACCGGUCUUGGCUGCAGCGGAGGUGGACGCGGAGGAGGAGGCGGAGGAGGAGGAGGAGGCGGUACCUGAGCCAAACGAUGAUGGAUCUGAUCUGGAUACCGUGGAUCGGUCUUUUCUGGAGGCGGACAAGAUUUUCUGGCUGAGUUUUUUGAUGAAUU